rnacentral:rRNA from 1 species
UACGGAGGGUGCAAACGUUGCUCGGAAUCAUUGGGCGUAAAGCGCACGUAGGCGGCUCGUUAAGUCGGAUGUGAAAGCCCUCGGCUCAACCGAGGAAGUGCAUACGAAACUGGCGAGCUUGAAUAUGGAAGAGGGUCGCGGAAUUCCCGGUGUAGAGGUGAAAUGCGUAGAUAUCAGGAGGAACACCGGCGGCGAAGGCGGCCCUCUGGCUCGUUGCUGACGCUGAAACGCGAAAGCGUGGGGAGCAAACAGG